rnacentral:lncRNA from 1 species
GCACUGGGCCCGGCCCAGCCGUCGGCACCGGAGCCCCCGGCAGGCAGCGACUGCCGGAGCGGUGCGGAGCCCUCUCUGAGGGGAGACGUGGGGGAGGGAACGGAGCAGCCACACGGGCCGGUUCUAGCGCGGUCCAGAGAACCACACUCGGCCUCGUUUGUCACCUUCACACCUGAAAUUCCGCGGCUGUUUCGUUUCACAGGGAGUAUUUCAUGCUGCCAAGCGUGCCUGGUGCGGAAGGACCUGUGAAUGUACUUGUGGAGAGGGCUUCUGGGGGAAAAGUGCUCCGCUCUUCCCGCUCAAGGAGCAAUGGAUCUUGUGCCUCAGACUCAGUGACUUGGACAUUUUUGGUGAGAAGGACAUGCCUGACUCCCAUUAGCUGUAAAAUGUGUACUCUCAAAUACCUCAUUGAGCUGCCUGGAGACAACUGGAAUCUGAAAGCACCCAAGGACUUGUUUGAGUACAGCUGCUGCAGGCUGGACACCUCAGUGCAUGCAAGGUCUUCACCUUUCCCAUCAUGUUGGCCAUGUGGCCCUGUGGCAGGUCUGUCAUGCAGGAGUGAAGGCGAAGGAUGGGAGAGGAUCCUGGGGGCCUGUCCCUGCAGAGACAAAAUGUGUGUGAAUGUGUGUGUGUCCCCUCCAUGGUGGGGACUGAAGAGGUAAGGAGCAAGUGGGUGGUGUCUGAAGUCCUGGGGACACCAGCAGAACGUCUUCAAUUGCAGGAUUGGUUUUUGCUUGGCUUUUCGGUGCCAGCCUUAAAAGAUGUGAAUUGAUACCACUUUUAACUGGCAGGUUUCAUUAUCUGCAAUUUUGUUAAGAGUGAUACCUGUGGAAGGACCACUGACUGUUUUUUUUUAAAUUUUUUGCUUAAUGGGUUCAAUUCUAUCUGCAGCAAACCUUGCCAUUUCACCCCCACUCCAAACUUCAUAUUCUAGUCUAUUACUCACUGUCUGUCUGGCCCCUAUCGUACUUUGACUGCAGAUGUCAUAACAGAAAAGAGAUGAACAGGCAGCUCUUACUUCCUGAUAAAUUAAUGUGCUGCAGUCUAAUCCAUAUCCCAAAUGAUGUUAACAACAGUUUGGAAGCCUGUCACAUAAUCUAAAAAAUUCAGAUGGAUAUUUUUCCCCCUCGUGUGGGAGGAAAAGCCUGUUUCGGGGAUGAACAGUCACUAAUACAUUUAAGCUCCAGUAGAAUGUCAUGGAAAUGGCACAAUUAAUUCAUCCGCCACCUCAGUCCAGUGGUGAAGCACUUUUAUUGGGAACAACCUGUUUGGCAGGCUGCUGGCCGUGGCGUGCUUCCCAAGGCUGCUGCAGCCUGUCCUCCCUCCUUCGUCUGCCUGCUCCAGCUGGGCUUGGGCCUCGCUCAGCUGCCAGUCUUUGGGGGCGAGUUUCUGCCACAGUCUUUGGGGUCAGUCACCUGCGGCUCUCCCACAGCCCCCAGCAUGUGGUUACUGGGACGUGGAAACGGGAACUCGGCAAAGCCUCGCUCUAAAUCUGCUGUGCCGCUCCAGAAGCCAUGGCAGCAGGCGUCCUUUUGCAGGAGGCACGCUGAUGUGCGGGCCCCAGCGAUGGAUAUCCGUAGAUCCGCCACUGAGCCGUGGGUGGGGAGGGAUGCUCUUCCCAGCCCCUGCUUCCUGCGUGGUUUCACUGGAGAAAACGGUGUG